CAAAUUUCUUGGCGUCUCUCAUCCGAAUCGUGAUUCUCGAACAAAUUCCUCAUAUUCGGCGAAGCUUGCAUCUGAAAGAUUUUUCUCUGUCGUCGGAGAAAUUGAAAGAAGAAUAGAAUAAGAAACAAAAGCUGAAAAGCAUAUUCAGAAACUUCAACUACUAGGUACAUUUUAUCGACAGUUUUCUUUUAAUCUUAGUCUUGUAUGCUUAAUGUUUCAGUAAGACACUUUAAAGGUGAAAUUCAUCGAUUAUGAAAUCUACAAUGCAUGAAUAAUGGCCCUUGCCAGAUUUUGAAGAAAUGUCUAUCAUUUAUAAGUAGUUUCUGUUGGAAAUUGAAGUGUUUCCAAACAGUGGAUGCUGUGAAGUAGCCUUACAAAUCAAUUGACUUUUAUGUACCUUUAUUUAGAAAAAUAGAAAACGGUCACCUUUGCAGCUUAAGGUAUUGGACUAUAACAUGAAAAAAGGUUAUUCAACCUUUGAUUUUGAGGAUUACUUGAUGAAGUUGGUCUAUGCUGCAGAAUUAAACAUGCUUUCAUUCAAUUUUGUCCUACAAGUGAUGGCUUCUAGAUUUACAACAUUCAAUUCACUCAACAGUUUCAUUUGCUUUUAUGUUUCUUUGAUAUCAUGCAUAUUCUUGUAUUCGUUGUUCAAUGUUGUUAUAUAUGAAUUUCCUUUCAAUUACCAAUGUCUUCCUUCAGUUAUGUAGCAAAAUUUUUUUGCUGCAACUUAACCAAUCUAAAAUUCGGUUAUACACUAUUUAAAAUGAUAUCACCGAAACUGCUCUCAACUUAUAAUUUAUCAUGUCAUACAUUGUUGUUAGAUAAAUUUAAUUUGCUUAAAAGUUAGAAAGUUAUACUGAUACAUUUGGCCAACCUUUUUGUAAUGACUUUUCCAAUUACUUGGAAUUCAUACUUUCUGUUUUGGACAACAUUAUUUCAUUUGCUUAUUUAAAAACUUUGUCUCAUUGCUAGCAUUAACUCUUUUGACUAUAGAUCUCAUUGAACUUUUAACAAUUAUAGGUCAAUGUCUUAUUUUUACUGAUACGAAUCAACAUUUUUGUGACCUCUGUAUUAGCAGUUUUUCACAGUUUCAACCUGUUUUACAAGGCACCAACAAUAUCAUCAAAUAUUAACUGGAAACAUGAAUUACCAUCCUUUAAUUUUGUUAAUUUCAUUUUUAUAACCAUCCUUCUUAAUUAUACAGUAACUGCUUACUCUUUUUUUGUAUAUGUUUUAGUAGUCCUUCAUUUUGUAAGUUUCAUUACUAUUGCUAUGAAUAGCUAUCAAGAAAAAUACAUGAAAAUGACUAACAUCUUUGUGUAACUACUGUUUUGUUAACUUCUUUUUCACUACUUUUUUAUGGCCAUUUUCUACAACAAUGGUAUGAAAAGUGUAAUGAAACAGUUAAUGAUUCAAUAAGUUAGUCUUACUCGUAUCUUCUCGAUGAAUCUUUUGAAUGUGAUUCCUCUUUACUUGUCGGAGAUGGCACCAACGCACAAAACAUUUUAUUAUCUACAUGGAAACAAGUGCAUAUCACUCAAGGGGGUUAUGAAGGAAGAGCAGUAUUUCGAUAUGUUGAAUGCAUUUAUUCACUUGAUUCAGUUAUUUCUACAUUUCAGCGUGAUACCAAAUACUACUACAGAAUUGGAAGUGGUGAUUCUUCUCGAGAUUUUUCAUUUUAAGCAUCUCCCAAAGUUGAACCACAUGUCAGUUACAAAUUUGGGAUCAUUGAUACUACUCCGUCAAAGAAGCUGAAAAAGACAUUUCUAAGGAUUUCUAUACCGUCGGAUUCUGUCCUGGUUCCAUUGUGUACUUUUUGUAUGAUGUUUCUAAAGGUGAUAUCAAUGACGAUCACCCAUAC